rnacentral:rRNA from 1 species
AGUGAACGCUGGUGGUAGGCCUAACACAUGCAAGUCGAACGGCAGCACAGUAAGAGCUUGCUCUUACGGGUGGCGAGUGGCGGACGGGUGAGGAAUACAUCGGAAUCUACUUUUUCGUGGGGGAUAACGUAGGGAAACUUACGCUAAUACCGCAUACGACCUACGGGUGAAAGCAGGGGAUCUUCGGACCUUGCGCGAUUGAAUGAGCCGAUGUCGGAUUAGCUAGUUGGCGGGGUAAAGGCCCACCAAGGCGACGAUCCGUAGCUGGUCUGAGAGGAUGAUCGGCCACACUGGAACUGAGACACGGUCCAGACUCCUACGGGAGGCAGCAGUGGGGAAUAUUGGACAAUGGGCGCAAGCCUGAUCCAGCCAUACCGCGUGGGUGAAGAAGGCCUUCGGGUUGUAAAGCCCUUUUGUUGGGAAAGAAAAGCAGCAGGUUAAUACCCCGCUGUUCUGACGGUACCCAAAGAAUAAGCACCGGCUAACUUCGUG